GAUGAAGAACGCAGUGAAAUGCGAUACGUAAUGUGAAUUGCAGAAUUCAGUGAAUCAUCGAGUCUUUGAACGCACAUUGCGCCCCCUGGUAUUCCGGGGGGCAUGCCUGUCCGAGCGUCAUUGCUGCCCUCAAGCACGGCUUGUGUGUUGGGCCCCGCCCCCCGAUCCCGGGGGGCGGGCCCGAAAGGCAGCGGCGGCACCGCGUCCGGUCCUCGAGCGUAUGGGGCUUUGUCACCCGCUCUGUAGGCCCGGCCGGCGCUUGCCGAUCAACCAAACUUUUUUCCAGGUUGACCUCGGAUCAGGUAGGGAUACCCGCUGAACUUAAGCAUAUCAAUAAGCGGAGGA
rnacentral:misc_RNA from 1 species